rnacentral:rRNA from 1 species
AAUUUCAUCGAUGGCCUUAUGGGCCUCCUCUAAAAAUUUGUCCUUACUGUUAGAACUCAUUAGGAAAUUUAGUGGAGCAGAGGUACUAAGAUAUGUCCUGACGCAAUAUGUCAAUAGUUGAAAACUUAGGAGAAAUGUGAGAAAGCAGCACCUGACGCAACAAGUACUACGCUAUGCUAACUUAAACUGGAAAAUCGACCGGAAUAAGUGGAAAAUAGUACUUACAGCUGUCCUUGUUCUGUAAAUAGUUGGAGAGUGUCCACGGAAGUUAUUCUAGGCAGCUGGGAUGGAGAUAAUCCGCAGUGUUCGGAAGAUAAAAAGGGUAAAGUACGGUGACACCCACAGUACUGGUGACAGUAGUCUAAUAGGGUGGAGACCCUUCCACAAGUAGGCCAAGCAAGCUUGGCCGGUGAAAUCACUGGCUAAGCUGAGACUUGACUAUGUCCUAGUCAAGCCAGACAGUACACUGUCUGGUCUGUUACCUUUGCAGAGUGUUGGCUGUGGCACCAACCAACACAAGCAAAUGCAGCAGACGGGGGAGGACCGGUCUGCUUGUUAGCGGGUCACCCCAACCAAACAAAAACAGACGAGGGUGCCAGGCACAACGAAACACAGACGUAAACACUACACUUACCAAACACUUGCACAAUCACUAGACGUAUCCAACAUGGUUGACCAACAUGGCUGGUACUCACUCUUGAAGAUGACUGUGGCUGGGUAUCCAAGAUGGCUACUCCUGGUAGUAAAGCACUUCAACUGUUGAGGAAGCCAAGAUGGUAGUCACCAAAAUCACAACACUUUCGAAAUUAAAAGUGCUCAAAAAGUUAGGCUUAGCGAGGCUAAGCCUAAGACAGCAGUUAGGACUAAAAUAGCCCUAACUCUCUAUGUUAAAACACUAGACUACUCUUGCUAAGCCUAAAAGUAGGCUUAGAACACUGAACUUACAAAUUUUCCCUGUCAGGAGCACUGAAAUACACGUCUUGUCUCUUCAGAAGCUAGACUCGAACCCAUGGAAGUCGGAAUCCGCUAAGGAGUGUGUAAAAACUCACCUGCCGAAGCAACUAGCCCUGAAAAUGGAAGGUGCUCCAGCGUCGAAAUCCCAUACCCGGCCGCCGCGGCAGUGUGAAGUUACGCUGCGGCGAGUAGGAGGGUCGCGGAGGCGUGCGUUGAAGGUGCCGGGCGCGAGCCCGCCUGGAGCCGCCUCCGGUGCAGAUCUUGGUGGUAGUAGCAAAUACUCAAGUGAGAACCUUGAGGACUGACGUGGAGAAGGGUUCCAUGUGAACAGCAGUUGAACAUGGGUCAGUCGGUCCUAAGGGAUGGGAGAAAUCCGUUCCGAAGCGGGACAUUUAUACGUAGCGAAAGAAGUCCCGUAGAGACCGAAAGGGAAUCGGGUUAAUAUUCCCGAACCUGGACGCAGAGAUCGGCCCUUCGGGGACCAGUGCGGUAACGCAAACGAACUCGGAGACGUCGGCGGAAGCCCCGGGAAGAGUUGUCUUUUCUUUGUAAGGACUCGGCUCCCUGGAAUCGGCUCGCCCGGAGAUAGGGAUGCUGUAUCCGUAAAGCACCGCGGCUCUUGCGGUGUCCGGUGCGCUUCCGUCGGCCCUUGAAAAUCCGAGGGAGAAAGUGUGAUUUUUGUGCCAGACCGUACCCAUAUCCGCAGCAGGUCUCCAAGGUGAACAGCCUCUAGUCGAUGGAACAAUGUAGGUAAGGGAAGUCGGCAAGACGGAUCCGUAACUUCGGGACAAGGAUUGGCUCUGAGGACUGGGCCUGUCGGGCUGGAGUCCGAAGCGGGUGCGGGUGCGGCACUGAACCGGGACUGGGCGAGACUGUCUCCCUUCGGGGCGUUCGGUCGAGCCCGGACCAGCGUCGGGGCCUUCCCGUGGAAUGCCCCAGCUACGCGGCGCGUCUGUCCUGACGACGGAUGCGACCGUUUCGGCAGGCAACUAACAGCCGACUCAGAACUGGCACGGACCGGGGGAAUCCGACUGUCUAAUUAAAACAAAGCAUUGCGAUGGCCGAAGGCCGGUGUUGACGCAAUGUGAUUUCUGCCCAGUGCUCUGAAUGUCAAAGUGAAGAAAUUCAACCAAGCGCGGGUAAACGGCGGGAGUAACUAUGACUCUCUUAAGGUAGCCAAAUGCCUCGUCAUCUAAUUAGUGACGCGCAUGAAUGGAUUAACGAGAUUCCCACUGUCCCUAUCUACUCUCCUCUAAAUGGGGGUCCAUUGCUUGUGCCCAAACCAGGCAAUGGCCCCAACUCGUACGUACCAGCCUUGUCGCGGCAGAGGGGCUCAGUACCCAGGGGAAAUGCUGUAAUGGUAUUUACCCUGGGGAAGCAAAUGGUACGGCGGGGGACUCAGGAGUGACCCUAUUCUGAAGGGCUUUAGCAUGGCUUAGGCCUCUGCUUUGGGGAGAGAGAGCGGAGGGGAGUACCCGAGGGUACAGGGUAUAAACUGGGGGGCGCGCACCUGGGGCGUUACAUAGUUAGGGGCCCGGGGGGACUUAGCCAGUAUCCUUUGGCCGCCCUGAUCAGGUAAUGUAUAAUCUUGUGCCCCGUCCGAUUGCGAGGUGGCGCCUCGGUUAGGUCCAUCUGGCGGGGUGCGGGGGCCUACCCCGAGGCCACGGGGCCUUCCCUCUCCUCUCUCGUAAUCCCUGUAGUGGGGUUGGGGUGUGCUGGUGUUGGUUUGGAUUAGGUGAUCUCCUGGGUCUGGGGGGUUUUGGGGUUUUCUUUUUUUUAAUUAUCAUGGAUAGUGUAAGCAAAGUUAAACGUUUAUACGCGCCGGGUGGUGGGGGGGAACAGCCUAGUUCCCA